GUGAACGCUGGCGGUAGGCCUAACACAUGCAAGUCGAACGGCAGCACAGUAAGAGCUUGCUCUUACGGGUGGCGAGUGGCGGACGGGUGAGGAAUACAUCGGAAUCUACUUUUUCGUGGGGGAUAACGUAGGGAAACUUACGCUAAUACCGCAUACGACCUACGGGUGAAAGCAGGGGAUCUUCGGACCUUGCGCGAUUGAAUGAGCCGAUGUCGGAUUAGCUAGUUGGCGGGGUAAAGGCCCACCAAGGCGACGAUCCGUAGCUGGUCUGAGAGGAUGAUCAGCCACACUGGAACUGAGACACGGUCCAGACUCCUACGGGAGGCAGCAGUGGGGAAUAUCGGACAAUGGGCGCAAGCCUGAUCCAGCCAUACCGCGUGGGUGAAGAAGGCCUUCGGGUUGUAAAGCCCUUUUGUUGGGAAAGAAAAGCAGCAGGUUAAUACCCCGCUGUUCUGACGGUACCCAAAGAAUAAGCACCGGCUAACUUCGUG
rnacentral:rRNA from 1 species